UGCCAGCAGCCGCGGUAAUACGGAGGGUGCGAGCGUUAAUCGGAAUUACUGGGCGUAAAGCGCGCGUAGGUGGUUAAUUAAGUCGGAUGUGAAAGCCCAGGGCUCAACCUUGGAACUGCAUCACAUACUGCCAGGCUAGAGUACGGUAGAGGGGGGUAGAAUUCCAUGUGUAGCGGUGAAAUGCGUAGAGAUGUGGAGGAAUACCAGUGGCGAAGGCGGCCCCCUGGAUCGAUACUGACGCUGAGGUGCGAAAGCGUGGGGAGCAAACAGGAUUAGAUA
rnacentral:rRNA from 1 species